rnacentral:rRNA from 1 species
UCCGGUUGAUCCUGCCAGAGGCCGCUGCUAUCCGGCUGGGACUAAGCCAUGCUAGUCUAGGGGCUUGUACUCCUUCGGGGGUGCAAGCACCGGCGGACGGCUCAGUAACACGUGGACAACCUGCCCUCGGGUGGGGGAUAACCUCGGGAAACUGGGGCUAAUCCCCCAUAAGUGAUGGGUGCUGGAAUGCCCCAUCUCCGAAAGCGCUUAGCGCCCGAGGAUGGGUCUGCGGCGGAUUAGGUAGUUGGUGGGGUAACGGCCCACCAAGCCUAAGAUCCGUACGGGCUGUGGGAGCAGGAGCCCGGAGAUGGACCCUGAGACAAGGGUCCAGGCCCUACGGGGCGCAGCAGGCGCGAAACCUCCGCAAUGCGGGAAACCGCGACGGGGUUAGCCGGAGUGCCCGUGCAUUGCACGGGCUGUCGGGGUGCCUAAACAGCACCCCAUAGCAAGGGCCGGGCAAGGCCGGUGGCAGCCGCCGCGGUAAGACCGGCGGCCCGAGUGGCGGCCACUCUUAUUGGGCCUAAAGCGUCCGUAGCCGGCCCAGUAAGUCCCCCGGGAAAUCUGGUCGCUUAACGAUCAGACUUCCGGGGGAUACUGCUGGGCUAGGGACCGGGAGAGGCCGAGGGUAUUCC